UCAGGUUUGAUCAUGCUCAGGAUGAACGCUAGCGGCAGGCUUAACACAUGCAAGUCGAGGGGCAGCGGGGUGUAGCAAUACACUGCCGGCGACCGGCGCACGGGUGCGUAACGCGUAUGCAACCUACCCAUAACAGGGGCAUAACACUGAGAAAUUGGUACUAAUUCCCCAUAACAUUCGAAGAGGCAUCUCUUUGGGUUGAAAACUCCGGUGGUUAUGGAUGGGCAUGCGUUGUAUUAGCUAGUUGGG
rnacentral:rRNA from 1 species